AGUGAACGCUGGCGGUAGGCCUAACACAUGCAAGUCGAACGGCAGCACAGUAAGAGCUUGCUCUUACGGGUGGCGAGUGGCGGACGGGUGAGGAAUACAUCGGAACCUACUUUUUCGUGGGGGAUAACGUAGGGAAACUUACGCUAAUACCGCAUACGACCUACGGGUGAAAGCAGGGGAUCUUCGGACCUUGCGCGAUUGAAUGAGCCGAUGUCGGAUUAGCUAGUUGGCGGGGUAAAGGCCCACCAAGGCGACGAUCCGUAGCUGGUCUGAGAGGAUGAUCAGCCACACUGGAACUGAGACACGGUCCAGACUCCUACGGGAGGCAGCAGUGGGGAAUAUUGGACAAUGGGCGCAAGCCUGAUCCAGCCAUACCGCGUGGGUGAAGAAGGCCUUCGGGUUGUAAAGCCCUUUUGUUGGGAAAGAAAAGCAGCAGGUUAAUACCCCGCUGUUCUGACGGUACUCAAAGAAUAAGCACCGGCUAACUUCGUG
rnacentral:rRNA from 1 species